UUCCUAGUCACUGCGCAUCCUCCUGAGCCUGAGAGCAAUUGGAGUGAUGGCUGCAGAGCAGCAGAAAUGACAGCCUGCCUCUCCCUCUGGGAGCUCCACCCCGGGGAACUGCAGAGCUGCAGUGCCCAAGAAUGAAGGCAGAGCUGCAAUGGCCUCGCUAGCAGCCCAGGCCAGUAGGCCUUUCCCUCUGGGCUUUACAUCAUGGGCUCCCCUGAUUCUCAGGCCUUCAGACUCAGACUCUGAGUUAUACCACCAGCUUCCCUGGGUCUUCAGCUUACAGAUGGCAGAUAACGAUAUGAUGGGAUUUUUCAACCUCCAUAACCAUGUUAAGAAGUGCAGGUUCUAAGAAGUUAAGUGAUCUUCCAAGGCCACAUGGAGACUUAAAUUGUGAGAAGAGAUGAGGACCCAGGUCUUCUGCCCCGAAAUCUAGUGUUCUACCCACAGCACCCCACCAACUUGGACAUGUGAGAGACAACUAAAAUGCUUGCAAAUAGUAGACAACUCUGUCUACUAUUACAGUACACAACUCUGUCAGGCUCCCCAGGUUAGGUCCAAGAUUAAUAAAAGUCAGACACCCAAGAAUGUCACCCUAAGUAUCUGGAAGCCCCUGACUUCUGAUUUCUUGUCCAGCAAAGAUAUUAUAAUUGAUUUGGUUUUCUGUAUAUUUGCCUUCUGAAGUCAUCCAGCUAUUCAUUCAGUCAAUAAUAACUGAAUAUUAAUAGAAAAUGUGUUAUGUUUGUUGAUUAAACAUAUGCCUACAUUUUCUUGGGGGCAAAUAAGAGAUUUACAUGGAUUAAAACUAUUAAAUUUACAUUUACAAGUAUAUGCCAGUAGAUUAAAAU
rnacentral:lncRNA from 1 species